UGGACACGCGAGCUGGGCUUUGUCGCAGCAGCACUCCCUGGCCGGCUCUGUCACACUGGCCGGGGGGAGGGCAGCAGAGCCAGCAGAGCUGUCCUGGGUGUCACUUUGUCAUUGGCGGAGGAGGAGAAGGAGGGCAGCAGGCUGGCAAGGCGGCUGGGGGCCAGUUUCCAGCUCAUCCAUCAGUGGGGCCAGGCUGCCACGUUUAUCCCGAGUGGAACGACAGAGGAGGAAGUCCCCGCUCUGGCCUCCAGGCACAGCGUUCCUUCAGGAGGCCACACUACUGGGACCACUCUGCACGCCUUCCCUCCGAGUGCUCAGCGGCCCACAUCAGAGAUGGCUCUGGCUUUCCCGUUUCUAGCAGCACCUGCCACCCUUGCAGGAGAGUGAGUGCCGUCCUCCACACCCAGGGACAGACACACUAGCCCCAGGUCAUUGGGUGUCCGCGUCUCACAGGAUGGGGCCUCAAGAGGGAAUCUGGUACUUGGCUUCUGCUUCGCAUCCGCUGUGCACACCAGGAACAGCCCUAACUGCAGAGUCUCCAGAUCCAGUCACCUUCCAAAAAGCCCCUCUUUGAAUGCUCUGGUGGUGGGUAUCUAGGUUUCCUGAGCAGCUCGGUCCUAGAGUCUGCGUGAAUGCAGGGGACAUCCCGUCCCCCAAGGUCCCAGGGUGCAGGGUCGCGGCUCCACCUGCUCUCGCCCCGCUGACCCCAGCAGCAGCCACAGUCCCAUCGCUCAGUGAUCUCUGCAGAUGCCGUCAGUGACUGCUCUGGAUCUAGGUCCCCGUGAACCAUACUUAUCUUGAAUAUUUCUUUCAAAAAUCCUGGCGUCAUAUACCGAAGCGAAUUAGGCUGAAAUAACAGAACACUGGAGUCAGACAGAGUAUUCGCAACGACCCGCUGGGACCGGCUUUCGGGACGUCCAGUGUUAAAGCUUACGUGCUGGCUGGGCAGUAGCUGUGGGCUGUUCUGACGGUGGACGUGUUCCUACCAGCCCCGAGGCACGGCUAGCAAAGGUGGAAGCUGGGGCAGAACGCCCUCCUCUCGUAACCUGCGGCCUUGUCGCUCGCCCAGCUGUCCCGACUUGCGGCACCAAAGAGGUUAUUUUCGCAAGCUUACUUUGCCCAGAGUGUGUGCUUGCUAAGCAGUACGCGAACAGGCGAAUCGGCGUGGGGUGGGCGGGUCACGCACGGCUCAGGGUCGCCUCGGUGGCUGUGCGUGUUGUCCCCAGGUCUGGGAGCCCACAUAAGGGUGCCAAGCUCGUCCGGUGAGUCCUGGCUUCUUACAACCCUACAUCCUUUUAAAACAAUGUUUAUUUGUUCAAGUGUGAGUGGAGGGUACGGUUGUGCUCUCUUAGGCCGUUGGUUCACGCACACAACACGUCUGAGAUCUGUUCUCAUCCCCUUCCCGCCCUUGCCUCCAUCUCUCCGCCCGCUUCCCCUCACAGGAGAUCUCCCUGUUUCUGCCUUCUGCAUUUCUCCGCCACGCCGGCCACAGCUUUUCACUGCAUGAGAAUUCAGAGUAGAUUCGCUCUUCCCAGAAGCCAGCCGGGUCCCCUUCCGCACUGAGCACCUCCCUCUCAGCAAAGGCUGCUGUAGAUGGCGGUUUCCGAGUGGAGUGGAAGGCUGGGGUACGGAGGAGCAGGGGCAACUGCAACUCCACAGGGAAGCCGACGGCUUCUGUCUACAUGGCUGCGUGUCCCCUGGAGGUAACUCUCACACACACCACCUUAGGGGACGACUCUCCAGGCCUUCCAAGGCUGCUCCUUGUCCUUGCUCUGCCCGCUUAGGAGAUUGCUCACUGGGCCAAUCAGAAGAUGUUCUUCGCAGUCCUUCAUUUGCAUGUGGGUACAGCCAAUCAAAAGACACCAUUUCUGAUGCUUCAUUUACAUACAACAGAAAGCCAACCAAGCUUUUUGAUGGGGCAGCUUGCACCAGGCAUGACCAGAGUGAGUGUCUGAUAGGACAGCUGUCCCCGUGCAUGCCUUGUUUACACGGAAGAGAGGUGACUAGGGAAUUUGGGGUACAAAAGACCCCUUCCCUUAUCCUUGGCCACUGUGAGCCUUUUCACCCGCUCCUCUCACUUUGCAGAGCAGGAUUCUUUUCUGCUUCAAUAA